rnacentral:rRNA from 1 species
AACGAACGCUGGCGGCAGGCUUAACACAUGCAAGUCGAACGGGCGUAGCAAUACGUCAGUGGCAGACGGGUGAGUAACACGUGGGAACCUUCCUCGUAGUACGGGACAACUCAGGGAAACUUGAGCUAAUACCGUAUACGUCCGAGAGGAGAAAGAUUUAUCGCUAUGAGACGGGCCCGCGUCCGAUUAGGUAGUUGGUGGGGUAACGGCCUACCAAGCCGACGAUCGGUAGCUGAUCUGAGAGGAUGAUCAGCCACACUGGGACUGAGACACGGCCCAGACUCCUACGGGAGGCAGCAGUGGGGAAUCUUGGACAAUGGGCGCAAGCCUGAUCCAGCCAUGCCGCGUGAGUGAAGAAGGCCUUAGGGUUGUAAAGCUCUUUUGCCAGGGACGAUAAUGACGGUACCUGGAGAAUAAGCCCCGGCAAACUUCGUGCCAGCAGCCGCCGUAAAAC